CUUCCGGCGUACGUGGUCGCGCGGGAGUAGGCAGCGACGUUCGCCGCCGAAAUUCGAUGUAACGCCGCGAGUGCCGGAAUACAAACGGGGAGCCGUGAUUCGGAAUCUUGCUCUUGUCGGCUUCGUUGGCUAAGGAAUCUAAUUCAUGUUUAACGUUGGCAACGUUGUCAGAAUCAUUUCAUUUUUAUGUUCAUCAAAUGGCUGUGUUCAACAGGAAAAGCAACUUUGCAACCAUUGUAAGAUUCUUCAAUUUGAUUAGUUUGUACAUUUUGACCCGUGAGGACCUAAGAGCAGAAAUCAGUGAUAUCCAAGAUUUUUACAAUUGCAAAGCUGCUUUCUCUGCUGAAUACAGCCAUUGUUGAACAAGAGUAAACGAUGAUUGCGAGCAUUGUUGCGAAUGUUACGUGGAACGCAAGAAUUAUAUGAGCUGCGCCGUGUCGCAAGGUCACUCUAUAUACAGAGAACAACGUUUAUCCAGAGGAUAUCCAUACGCUGCCCCAAUGCAUAAGUUAUAUAGUCAACGUGCAAUUAUCUGAAAAAUUGUAAGAUGCCGCUUUGCGAUACUCGCUAUCUACUACUGCGAAUACGUGCCACGUGUGUACGUUGCGUAUAUCAAGUUGUAAUAGAGACGAGUAGGUUUACUAUCGCUGCUGUUGCCGGUAGGCGCCGAGUUACUUGACUCCCUAUCCUAUUUAGGACUGGACAGGAAAGGGACGAGCUGAUGAGCAUUUGCCCGCUGAUCUCGCUCCCGUCUAAAUGGUACACACAGAUUACGUUGACGACAUCUAUUUUCUGGAGGACGAGCAAAACGAACGAGUUUGUCAUGACGGAGAGAAAGAGAGAGGAGGAUUUGGAUCAUAGUUUGUGGACAUAUUGUGUAUGUAUGUAUAUGUGUAUGCGUAUGUGGGUGUAAUGGGUGUGCGUGUGGUCGAUACCACGGCUGGUUGUGCGAGUCGUCUGGUCAGCUGGCGCCAGGACCCUGACAGCUUCCU